CUGUGACACACCGAGCGCGAGCUGGCAACGUGCCCCGGCGUCACAUUAAAAGCGGCUCCCACGCUCCAGCACGAUGCUAACGUAGCUCAGAUCACCAGCUAGCUAGCGCAAAAACGCAAGACAACAACUAGUAAAGUUAGCACGCCAGCUAACGCGCUAACACCCUUUUUUUUUUUUUUUUUUUUUUUUAUAAGAGCUUCUCGGAGCUGUGGUUCCCCGUUAAGUGUCAGUGCGUGUUGUUUAAUCGUGACUACAUACCUGCAGUGUGCACUGACAGUCCGGCGCUUUUAAUCUGCAGGCGGAUGGAUGCAGCAGGAAGCCCUCAGUGGUAACGCACCCAACCCGUGACGGUGGCAGCAGGUCUGGUGAACUCGGUGCAGCGAGAUUCCAGGAUCAGCGCGUACUCUCAAGGACAAAGACCUGAAGUGAGUGCAAUAAACGCCUGAGACGGUAAAAGCACAAGACGGCUGACAUAAAAACACUCUUUCUGACAUCUACGGACUAAAUGAAAAAAGGACUGUGUCAUGAAGAAACGGCAACAUUUCUUUUAUGUUGCCUGAUAAACAUUUUAUAGAAACGACGGCGUCUAUUUAUGGAGAAGAACCUUUUAAAAUAAACAUUUCUUUAGACGACGUGUUGUGGAUUCCCAUGAGCAACAGUUAGCUGGAAAUUGGUUUCUGCCAAUAAAUAUUUCUAUCUUAACUUCUCCUCCACCUAAAAAAUAAAUACAGCAUCAUGGGAAGCCGAUUUCUCUCUUUCCCUUUGGAUCAUGUAUGUGCUCCACGUUUUCUCUACGUGUUCCCCUUGUCUAGGCAUGCCUCUGCCGCUGCUUGAUAGGUUUAAGAAAGAGACACCAGGAUUUACUCCACAACAAAAUAUAAUUUAAUGAAUUCACUUUUCACUGUGUCGAUCACAAAUCUAUAUUGAUGUAAAAAAAAGAAAAAGAAAAA